AAGAGGCUUAGGAUAGCACAAGACCAAAAGGCCUUCAAAGCCUUAAGCGGGAGUGAAAAUCUCCCAGCCCCUG
rnacentral:tRNA from 1 species